AGCCAAUAGAUACCCGGGUAGUCCACGCCCUAAACGAUGUCUACUAGUUGUUGGUGGAGUAAAAUCCAUGAGUAAACGCAGCUAAACGCGUGAAGUAGACCGCCUGGGGAGUACGGUCGCAAGAUUAAAACUCAAAGGAAUUGACGGGGGCCCGUACAAGCGGUGGAUUAUGUGGAUUAAUUCGAUGCAACGCGAAAAACCUUACCUGGCCUUGACAUGCCACUAACGAAGCAGAGAUGCAUUAGGUGCCCGUAAGGGAAAGUGGACACAGGUGCUGCAUGGCUGUCGUCAGCUCGUGUCGUGAGAUGUUGGGUUAAGUCCCGCAACGAGCGCAACCCUUGCCAUUAAUUGCCAUCAUUUAGUUGGGCACUUUAAUGGGACUGCCGGUGACAAACCGGAGGAAGGUGGGGAUGACGUCAAGUCCUCAUGGCCCUUAUGGCCAGGGCUUCACACGUAAUACAAUGGUCGGUACAGAGAGUUGCCAACCCGCGAGGGGUAGCUAAUCUCAGAAAGCCGAUCGUAGUCCGGAUUGUUCU
rnacentral:rRNA from 1 species